ensembl:rRNA 5S_rRNA 5S ribosomal RNA
ACUAGCAGCCAUAUCACCCUGCGACUCACAACUGGCAACCCACUGAAGCUCAGCAGGUGUGAGCCUGGUCAGUACCUGGAUGGGAGACCUCCUGGGAAAAACUAAGGUUGCUGCUGGAA